CUUCUCAGGAUCUAGUAUUCAGUGAUAGCAGACUGCUUUAUGCUGUCUUGGUCUCCUCCACAUGCUUGCUUUGAGUUCAGCUGAGGGUGGGGGAGAAAAACACAGAAAUGCUGCUAAUCUCCACUGGUGAUGCUAGGAAAGGCCACAGCCCCUGUGGGGCCCUCAGGAGGGACAAGAAUCUAUCUGUUGAGAUUGAGCCUGAUUUAAUUUUUCUUAUAAAGCAUCUUGGCAGCUGUCUCCAUCUGACAGGUUGUUAAUAAAACUUUCCCUAGAUGCAAAAGGGAAAGUAAUUUACAUUGGCUUCGCACCUCUGGCAAGCAGGAAAGAUCCUGCCCCACCUGAGAGUGAUUGGGGAGCAGACAGGUGCAUGCAACGCAGGGGGAAGGGAGGAAGGCUGGCUCCAUGCUUAAACAACCACAGGAAAAUGCCAUUUGGAAUGUGCUAAUGGGUGAGCGACCUGGGCUGGGAAUCAGCUUUCUGUCCACAGCAGUGCUUUGGAGCAGCUUCCCAGCCAGGUCCUGAAAGGUUGCUCUACAAGGAGCAACAGUGCUACCUGACUGCAGGUUGCUCCAUUUAGCCCGGUGCUUCUGCUGACAUGCUGCUUGCUUUCCCUUGUUAGAGGCAUGGGAGUUCCAGCACCAAGCUGCCCUAGGACUUUUCCUUUUACUCUUCGUAAUGAGUUGAUAGUGUCUUAGGGAAGGACUGUGGUGCUCACUGUGCUGUAAAGGCCUCUCCAAGAGGUGUAAGACUGCAAUUACGCCACCUCAUGUCUCCUGCUACCUGGACAGGCACAGCCACCUCCAGGAACAUAGAAUCAAUAAGAUUGGACAACAAGACCACUUAGGUCAUGUUGCCCAACCAUCAGACCAUCACUGCCAUGCUUACUCAGAAGGACCAAACCAAGGCCAAGUCUUUGUCUGUGCUGUGUUACCCUUUAACCCUGUUGCCACAGCAGUCUGGUUGUGACUUUAGCUGGAUGUUCAUCAUGUUUCUGUGGGUCUUAUGACCUCCAAAAGGAACCCUGAGAGGCACCUGUCCGCCCCUCCAUGCUUCAUGCAUGGGCUUUGCUGCCCCUUUGCCCUGGGAGCUGACAGUCCAGAGGCAUGCAUUGAAAUCCUCAUGUGAAAGCAGGCUGGGAUGGUGCUCUGGCCUUCAGGGAAACGUAAAGGAGACGGAUUUACUCUUUGCAACCCACCGGCUUUAAAUGCCCCUGCCUUUUCUGCCAGAAACGAGCUGUGAAAUGCUGAGGAGGGGAGAACUAGAAUUAUGUCAAAGCAAACAAAAGAGGGUGGUGGAAGCGUUUUGUUUUCUUGUUCCUUGACCACUGGGAUCAUGCAGAGGAUUUGUUCUGCUAAAAGGCAGAGGCUGGGUCCGGAGCUUUCUCCUGGAUUGUCCUCAAUUACUGAUGCAUUUUCAGAGGGGGUGGGGAGCAAAGAGAACUGAUUGCUGAGUGCGUGCAGCUGGAGUGGGCUGGGAGACUCCUGAGAGCCUUUCAGUGCCCAGGCCAACCUUGUGUGGAGGUGGGAAGGAGGGCAUUUGAGGUUGUUUUCUUUUUCUGUGGUCCACAGAGAUGUUCAAAGCUUCCGGAUGACAGAGCCGGAGAGGCCUUUAUGCUGCACGGACUCAGUGACCACAAGUGAUGAUGCUGCGUGGAGGGUG
ensembl:lncRNA